CACGUAGGAGGCGAGCGUUGUCCGGAAUCAUUGGGCGUAAAGAGCGCGCAGGCGGCUUGGCAAGUCGGGUGUGAAAUCCCGGGGCUCAACCCCGUGACUGCAUCCGAUACUGUCAGGCUAGAGGUAGGUAGGGGAGAUCGGAAUUCCUGGUGUAGCGGUGAAAUGCGCAGAUAUCAGGAGGAACACCGGUGGCGAAGGCGGCUAUCUGGACCGACAUUGACGCUGAGGCGCGAAAGCGUGGGGAGCAAACAGG
rnacentral:rRNA from 1 species